UUUUCCAUCUUCUUGUGUAUUAAAAAUCAAAGCCAUCAUUCUAAUCUGAUUGUGGCCUGGCAUCUGUCCUUCCCCUCUGGAUGGUUGAUGGGAACCUUUAUUGUCCCUUCCCCACUUAUCCAGUUUUUAGUCCAGGUCUAGUACAUGCAUAGAGGCUUCACUUGCCAUCUACCUGAAUUCUAACAGUAGCAGCCAUCAUUUCUCCAGGGCUUACUGUAGGCCAGGAAAUAUGCUAAGCACCAAGUGUGUGCCCUCUCAUUAAGCCUCACAACACACCUGUGUGGUACAUCUUAUCAUCAUCUCCAUUUUGCAUUUGGGAUGAUCCCCAUUU
rnacentral:lncRNA from 1 species